UACGAAGGGGGCUAGCGUUGCUCGGAAUCACUGGGCGUAAAGGGUGCGUAGGCGGGUCUUUAAGUCAGGGGUGAAAUCCUGGAGCUCAACUCCAGAACUGCCUUUGAUACUGAGGAUCUUGAGUUCGGGAGAGGUGAGUGGAACUGCGAGUGUAGAGGUGAAAUUCGUAGAUAUUCGCAAGAACACCAGUGGCGAAGGCGGACUCACUGGCCCGAU
rnacentral:rRNA from 1 species